rnacentral:tRNA from 1 species
GGACGAUUAGCUCAGGUGGGAGAGCGCUUGCUUCACACGCAAGAGGUCGGAGGUUCGAAUCCUCCAUCGUCCA